rnacentral:rRNA from 1 species
AUACGGAGGGUGCAAGCGUUAUCCGGAAUCAUUGGGUUUAAAGGGUCCGCGGGCGGUCAAUUAAGUCAGAGGUGAAAGCCCAUCGCUCAACGAUGGAACUGCCUUUGAUACUGGUUGACUUGAGUUAUACGGAAGUAGAUAGAAUAAGUAGUGUAGCGGUGAAAUGCAUAGAUAUUACUUAGAAUACCGAUUGCGAAGGCAGUCUACUACGUAUAUACUGACGCUGAGGGACGAAAGCGUGGGGAGCGAACAGGAGUAGAAACCCUAGUAGUCC